GACAGAGGCCUCGAGCGUUAGGCGGAAUCACUGGGCGUAAAGGGUGCGUAGGCGGGUCUUUAAGUCAGGGGUGAAAUCCUGGAGCUCAACUCCAGAACUGCCUUUGAUACUGAAGAUCUUGAGUUCGGGAGAGGUGAGUGGAACUGCGAGUGUAGAGGUGAAAUUCGUAGAUAUUCGCAAGAACACCAGUGGCGAAGGCGGCUCACUGGCCCGAUACUGACGCUAAGGCACGAAAGCGUGGGGAGCAAACAGG
rnacentral:rRNA from 1 species